CCAUUUCCCAUUCCUGCACUUACCCACCUCCCCCAACUCCACUCCCACCUCAACCUCCCCUCUGCUCUUCAUUUCCUCUCUCUCUCUCUCUCUCUCGCUCAUUAAUUUCUUCAUGAAGCGCUCACUUGAUACUCAAACCCAAAAUAACGCUGCUCCGGUCACUGGAGACGAUGUCAAAACAAAGAAGAUAAAGCACCGACAGGAGGAAGAAGAAAAAAUCGAGGAUGGACUUAAUACGGGAACUGGGUUUGUGAAUUUAGACGAGAAUUUGCUUUUUGAGGUCUUCAANNUGUGGAUGCGAGGACGCUGGGGAGAGCUGCCUGUGUGAGUAAGCAAUGUCACAGGACAGCGCAGGACGAGAGGCUAUGGGAGUUGAUCUGUACUAGGCACUCGGCUAAUAUAGGUUGCGGUAACCAACAACUGAGAUCCGUGGUACUAGCUCUUGGUGGUUUUCGUCGCCUCCACUCCCAGUACCUGUUGCCUCUUUCUAAGCCACAAUCAAGUUCCACGGCUUCAAGUUCGUCGUCGUCGUCUUGGUCUCCGUUCCCGGCGAUGAUUGGCUCG
rnacentral:misc_RNA from 1 species